rnacentral:rRNA from 1 species
AGUAACGCGUAUGCAACCUACCUUUAACUGGGGGAUAGCCCGGAGAAAUUCGGAUUAAUACCCCAUAAUAUUUUACUAAGGCAUCUUAGUAUUAUUAAAGCUCCGGCGGUUAGAGAUGGGCAUGCGUGACAUUAGGUAGUUGGUAAGGUAACGGCUUACCAAGCCAGCGAUGUCUAUGGGGUCUUAAAGGAUGAUCCCACACACUGGUACUGAGACACGGACCAGACUCC